GGCCCCAUGGUCUAGUGGUAAGAUACCAAGAUAUGAUGAGGAAUGAGUCUCGUCGUUAUGUUGGAGACCCUCGUUCAAUUCGAGGUGGGGUGA